GGACGCAAGUCUGAUGGAGCAACGCCGCGUGAGUGAAGAAGGCUUUCGGGUCGUAAAACUCUGUUGUUGGAGAAGAAUGGUCGGCAGAGUAACUGUUGUCGGCGUGACGGUAUCCAACCAGAAAGCCACGGCUAACUACGUGCCAGCAGCCGCGGUAAUACGUAGGUGGCAAGCGUUAUCCGGAUUUAUUGGGCGUAAAGCGAGCGCAGGCGGUUUUUUAAGUCUGAUGUGAAAGCCCUCGGCUUAACCGAGGAAGUGCAUCGGAAACUGGGAAACUUGAGUGCAGAAGAGGACAGUGGAACUCCAUGUGUAGCGGUGAAAUGCGUAGAUAUAUGGAAGAACACCAGUGGCGAAGGCGGCUGUCUGGUCUGUAACUGACGCUGAGGCUCGAAAGCAUGGGUAGCGAACAGGAUUAGAUACCCUGGUAGUCCAUGCCGUAAACGAUGAAUGCUAGGUGUUGGAGGGUUUCCGCCCUUCAGUGCCGCAGCUAACGCAUUAAGCAUUCCGCCUGGGGAGUACGACCGCAAGGUUGAAACUCAAAGGAAUUGACGGGGGCCCGCACAAGCGGUGGAGCAUGUGGUAUAAUUCGAAGCAACGCGAAGAGCCUUACCAGGUCUUGACAUCUUUUGAUCACCUGAGAGAUCAGGUUUCCC
rnacentral:rRNA from 2 species